GAUGAACGCUGGCGGCGUGCCUAAUACAUGCAAGUCGAGCGAACAGAUGAGGAGCUUGCUCCUCUGACGUUAGCGGCGGACGGGUGAGUAACACGUGGAUAACCUACCUAUAAGACUGGGAUAACUUCGGGAAACCGGAGCUAAUACCGGAUAAUAUAUUGAACCGCAUGGUUCAAUAGUGAAAGACGGUUUUGCUGUCACUUAUAGAUGGAUCCGCGCCGCAUUAGCUAGUUGGUAAGGUAACGGCUUACCAAGGCAACGAUGCGUAGCCGACCUGAGAGGGUGAUCGGCCACACUGGAACUGAGACACGGUCCAGACUCCUACGGGAGGCAGCAGUAGGGAAUCUUCCGCAAUGGGCGAAAGCCUGACGGAGCAACGCCGAGUGAGUGAUGAAGGUCUUCGGAUCGUAAAGCUCUGUUAUUAGGGAAGAACAAAUGUGUAAGUAACUAUGCACGUCUUGACGGUACCUAAUCAGAAAGCCACGGCUAACUACGUG
rnacentral:rRNA from 1 species